GAGUUUGAUCCUGGCUCAGAACGAACGCUGGCGGCGUGCCUAACACAUGCAAGUCGAACGUGAUCCAGAGCUUGCUCUGGUGAAAGUGGCGCACGGGUGAGUAACGCGUGGAUAACCUACCCUGGUAUCCGGGAUAACAUUCCGAAAGGGGUGCUAAUACCGGAUAAGCCCACGGGCUCUUUGGAGCUUGCGGGAAAAGGUGGCCUCUAUUUAUAAGCUACUGUAUCAGGAUGGGUCCGCGUACCAUUAGCUAGUUGGCGGUGUAACGGACCACCAAGGCGACGAUGGUUAGCUGGUCUGAGAGGAUGAUCAGCCACACUGGAACUGAGACACGGUCCAGACUCCUACGGGAGGCAGCAGUGGGGAAUUUUGCGCAAUGGGGGAAACCCUGACGCAGCAACGCCGCGUGAGUGAUGAAGGCCUUUGGGUCGUAAAGCUCUGUCAGAGGGGAAGAAAUGAUAUAGUGCUAAUACCACUUUAUCUUGACGGUACCCUCAARGGAAGCACCGGCUAACUCCGUGCCAGCAGCCGCGGUAAUAC
rnacentral:rRNA from 1 species